rnacentral:rRNA from 1 species
UACGUAGGGUGCGAGCGUUAAUCGGAAUUACUGGGCGUAAAGCGUGCGCAGGCGGUUAUGUAAGACAGAUGUGAAAUCCCCGGGCUCAACCUGGGAACUGCAUUUGUGACUGCAUAGCUAGAGUACGGUAGAGGGGGAUGGAAUUCCGCGUGUAGCAGUGAAAUGCGUAGAUAUGCGGAGGAACACCGAUGGCGAAGGCAAUCCCCUGGACC